AGCCUUCGUUUCAUCAUAAACCACAUUGCCAAACCAAUAUUCUCGGAGGGUAGGACAACGGGCUGGUGGAAUGACAUGACACAGAUUGCCAAAUUCCCAAACGCUUUCUGCAAAAUAUCUGGGUUGAUUUCUGAGCAAAAAGAAGACACAUGGGGGUCCAUAGACUACCCACCGUUCAUUGACCACGUUCUCUCAGUAUUUGGAGUAGACAGAUGUGUGUUUGGAUCAGACUGGCCCGUUUUCGAAAAUGCUGGGGUCACCUAUGAAGAAAAC